rnacentral:rRNA from 1 species
AUUGAACGCUGGCGGCAGGCCUAACACAUGCAAGUCGAACGGUAACAGGAAGAAGCUUGCUUCUUUGCUGACGAGUGGCGGACGGGUGAGUAAUGUCUGGGAAACUGCCUGAUGGAGGGGGAUAACGACUGGAAACGGUAGCUAAUACCGCAUAACGUCGCAAGACCAAAAAGGGGGACCUUCGGGCCUCUUGCCCUCGGAUGUGCCCAGAUGGGAUUAGCUAGUAGGUGGGGUAACGGCUCACCUAGGCGACGAUCCCUAGCUGGUCUGAGAGGAUGACCAGCCACACUGGAACUGAGACACGGUCCAGACUCCUACGGGAGGCAGCAGUGGGGAAUAUUGCACAAUGGGCGCAAGCCUGAUGCAGCCAUGCCGCGUGUAUGAAGAAGGCCUUCGGGUUGUAAAGUACUUUCAGCGGGGAGGAAGGGAGUAAAGUUAAUACCUUUGCUCAUUGACGUUACCCGCAGAAGAAGCACCGGCUAACUCCGUG